UACGGGGGGGGCAAGCGUUGUUCGGAAUUACUGGGCGGAAAGGGCUCGUAGGCGGCCAACUAAGUCAGACGUGAAAUCCCUCGGCUUAACCGGGGAACGGCCUCUGAUACUGGCUGGCUGGAGUUCGGGAGAGGGAUGCGGAAUUCCAGGUGUAGCGGUGAAAUGCGUAGAUAUCUGGAGGAACACCGGUGGCGAAGGCGGCAUCCUGGACCGACACUGACGCUGAGGAGCGAAAGCCAGGGGAGCAAACGGG
rnacentral:rRNA from 1 species